GAUGAACGCUGGCGGCGUGCCUAACACAUGCAAGUCGAGCGAACAGACGAGGAGCUUGCUCCUCUGACGUUAGCGGCGGACGGGUGAGUAACACGUGGAUAACCUACCUAUAUUACUGGGAUAACUUCGGGAAACCGGAUCUAAUACCGGAUAAUAUAUUGAACCGCUGGGUUCAGUAGUGAAAGGCGGUUUUGCUGUCACUUAUAGACGGAUCCGCGCCGCAUUAGCUAGUUGGUAAGGUAACGGCUUACCAAGGCAACGAUGCGUAGCCGACCUGAGAGGGUGAUCGGCCACACUGGAACUGAGACACGGUCCAGACUCCUACGGGAGGCAGCAGUGGGGAAUCUUGGACAAUGGGCGAAAGCCUGACGGAGCAACGCCGCGUGGGUGAUGAAGGUCUUCGGAUCGUAAAGCUCUGUUAUUAGGGAAGAACAGAUGUAUAAGUAACUAUGCACGUCUUGACGGUACCUAAUCAAAAAGCCACGGCUAACUACGUG
rnacentral:rRNA from 1 species